UAGAUGCGAUUUUCUUCUUCUGAUGGAUGUGAACGAGUGGAAGAAUUAUGAAUGUUAAGAUGAAGAUACAAAUCCUCGGAGCAUUCAUAACUCAUCUACUCGUUCACAUGCAUCAGAAGACGAAAAUCGCACCUA